rnacentral:rRNA from 1 species
AGAAUCAACGCUGGCGGCGUGCCUAACACAUGCAAGUCGAACGAGAAAGGGAUUUCGGUCCUGAGUAUAGUGGCGCACGGGUGAGUAACACGUGAAUAAUCUACCUCCGAGUGGGGAAUAACUGGAAGAAAUUUCAGCUAAUACCGCAUAACACUUACGAGUCAAAGCAGCAAUGCGCUUGGAGAGGAGUUCGCGGCAGAUUAGUUAGUUGGCGGGGUAAUGGCCCACCAAGACGAUGAUCUGUAUCCGGCCUGAGAGGGCGCACGGACACACUGGAACUGAAACACGGUCCAGACUCCUACGGGAGGCAGCAGUGGGGAAUUUUGCGCAAUGGGGGAAACCCUGACGCAGCAACGCCGCGUGGAGGAUGAAGUAUCUUGGUACGUAAACUCCUUUCGAUGGGGAAGAUAAUGACGGUACCCAUAGAAGAAGCCCCGGCUAACUUCGUGCCAGCAGCCGC